GGCCCCGUGGCCUAAUGGUUAAGGCGUUGCAUUUCGGUUACUACAGCAUCACUGCAAAGAUUGGGUGUUCGAAUCAUCCCGGGGUCG